rnacentral:rRNA from 1 species
GACGAACGCUGGCGGCGUGCUUAACACAUGCAAGUCGAACGGUGAAGGGACUGGUUUUGCUGGUCCUGGAUGAGUGGCGAACGGGUGAGUAACACGUGAUUAACCUGCCCCCUUCUUCUGGAUAACCGCAUGAAAGUGUGGCUAAUACGGGAUAUUCUGUGUCUGUCGCAUGGUAGGCCUGGGAAAGAUUGCGCCUGUUUUGGUGUGUUGGAUGCGGGAUGGGUUCGCGGCCUGUCAGCUUGUUGGUGGGGUGAUGGCCUACCGAGGAGGUGACGGGUCGCGGGUCUGAGAGGGUGGACGGACACACGGGGACUGAGACACGGCCCAGACUCAUACGGGAGGCAGCAGUGGGGUAUAUUGCAAAAUGGGCGCACGUGUGAUACAGAGACGCCGCGUGAGGGAUGGAGCCCUUCGGGUUGUGAACCUCUUUCGCCAGAGAAGCAGGCCUGCCUCUUUUUGUGGGUGGGUUGACGGUAGCUGGAGAAGAAGCGCCGGCUAACUACGUG